GUGCAGGCGGCAGCUACCAUGCAAGUCGAGCGGUAACAGAUCCAGCUUGCUGGAUGCUGACGAGCGGCGGACGGGUGAGUAAUGCAUAGGAAUCUGCCCGAUAGUGGGGGAUAACCUGGGGAAACCCAGGCUAAUACCGCAUACGUCCUACGGGAGAAAGGGGGCUUCGGCUCCCGCUAUCGGAUGAGCCUAUGUCGGAUUAGCUAGUUGGUGAGGUAACGGCUCACCAAGGCCACGAUCCGUAGCUGGUCUGAGAGGAUGAUCAGCCACAUCGGGACUGAGACACGGCCCGAACUCCUACGGGAGGCAGCAGUGGGGAAUAUUGGACAAUGGGGGGAACCCUGAUCCAGCCAUGCCGCGUGUGUGAAGAAGGCCCUCGGGUUGUAAAGCACUUUCAGCGAGGAAGAACGCCUAGCGGUUAAUACCCGCUAGGAAAGACAUCACUCGCAGAAGAAGCACCGGCUAACUCCGUGCCAGCAGCCGCGGUAAUACGGAGGGUGCAAGCGUUAAUCGGAAUUACUGGGCGUAAAGCGCGCGUAGGUGGCUUGAUAAGCCGGUUGUGAAAGCCCCGGGCUCAACCUGGGAACGGCAUCCGGAACUGUCAAGCUAGAGUGCAGGAGAGGAAGGUAGAAUUCCCGGUGUAGCGGUGAAAUGCGUAGAGAUCGGGAGGAAUACCAGUGGCGAAGGCGGCCUUCUGGACUGACACUGACACUGAGGUGCGAAAGCGUGGGUAGCAAACAGGAUUAGUCCC
rnacentral:rRNA from 1 species